rnacentral:rRNA from 1 species
GAUGAACGCUAGCUACAGGCUUAACACAUGCAAGUCGAGGGGAACGAUAGAGAAAGCUUGCUUUUUCUAGGCGUCGACCGGCGCACGGGUGAGUAACGCGUAUGCAACUUACCUAUCAGAGGGGGAUAGCCCGGCGAAAGUCGGAUUAAUACCCCAUGAAACAGGGGUCCCGCAUGGGAAUAUUUGUUAAAGAUUCAUCGCUGAUAGAUAGGCAUGCGUUCCAUUAGGCAGUUGGCGGGGUAACGGCCCACCAAACCGACGAUGGAUAGGGGUUCUGAGAGGAAGGUCCCCCACAUUGGUACUGAGACACGGACCAAACUCCUACGGGAGGCAGCAGUGAGGAAUAUUGGUCAAUGGCCGAGAGGCUGAACCAGCCAAGUCGCGUGAAGGAAGAAGGAUCUAUGGUUUGUAAACUUCUUUUAUAGGGGAAUAAAGUGGAGGACGUGUCCUUUUUGUAUGUACCCUAUGAAUAAGCAUCGGCUAACUCCGUG